rnacentral:lncRNA from 10 species
AGGCAGGGCCGUGAGCCGGGCGAGGGAGAGUCCUGGGCUGCCCCUGAGCCCCGGGGCCACGGGAAGAACUUGCAGCGACGUCAUCCCUGCCCCGGACACAGUCCCGGGCCCAGGGAGGACCUGGAACAUUCCCUUCCUCCCCCCCCCCCCCCCCGCCCCCGCCCAUCAGCCCAGCCUGCAAGGAGGCGCCACCGGACCUGCACACUCAGGAGCAGGUGAGCCAGGGACAAGCAGGAGCCCCGCCCCUUCCGAACUGGUGGAGCAGGAGCUCCCAGGGUGCAGCUGCAGCCACCUUGCCGCGGCUGUGGACAUUUUCUGUGCUCUCAGAGGCCCAGCAAAGUCCCCUGCCCACUGCAGGCUCCAGGGUGCCUACUCCGGCUGCCUGGCUUCUCUCCACUGUUAGCACCCACUCUGAACUCAGAGCAAGGUCGGGCCGAGCCUGGGUACUGUCACAGCCUGGCCGAGCGUGCACACGCUCAGGACAGUGCUGAUACGCCAGCCCCCUGCCGUCUCGGCCCCCUUUGGAACUUGGGCACCAACAAGCGUGGGAGGGAGGCUGAGAGGGGUCUGAAGACAGCUGGACACUGACUUGCAGGCGCUCCUUGGCAUGAACAGCCUGGGAGCAGGAGGCAGACAGGUUCCUGGGUGGAAGGGGAUGGGUCCCCAGUGAAGUCCCACCCUCAAGCUGGUGAGGGCUUGAAGCCUGCAGACCAGAGAGGUAACUUGUGGUGCUGCUCCCUGGGCCCACUCAUGGCUGCCCAUGGACCAAUCAGCAUGCAUUUCCUCCCUCUGAGGCUCAUAAAAUCCCCCAGACUCAGCUAGAUUGGAAGAGAGGAUGGGAAGACAAUGGAUGACCUACCUGUGGAGAGAAACUACCCAUUCCAGAACCUCCUCUCUGCUGAAAGCUGAACACUCAAUGGGAAGACCUGUUUGCAGAGAGGAGCCAGCCACUCCAGGGUCUCCGUUCUGCUAGAAGCUGAACACUCGUUGGGACACCCUUGCUGUGGAAAGGACAUCCUUACUGUGGAAAUGAGCUACUAACUGCAGGAGCUGAGGAGCUGCACAGCAAGGUUAAAAGAGCUGUAACACAAACAGGGCUGCAACAUGCCCCUUGCUCCCCACAGGGAGAGAAGAGCUCUGGCCCUCGGAGAAGCCCAGACCUGGGAGCUCCUUGAGCCCGGGCUGUGACUCCCUCUUUGGGGCCCUGGUUGGCGUCACUGCAUUCGCCAGUGCCACUGUUGGAAGCUGCUUGUGAUGCGCCUGGUCCAGGGGGAAGCUGUUUGUUGUGUGCCUGGUCCAGCCACCUCAUGGAGAGCCUGUGCUGGCACCUGGAGCUGCCCAACCUGGGCAGCAGCUUGUGUGUGUGACUGCACAGUGGCCACGCUUGCUCACACACCCCUAGCACACCCCUCUGCUCCACCCGUCUCAAUCUCCCUUGGAUCCGGGAUCCAGGUUGGUAGCAAGUGCGAGUGGGCAGAAGCAGCCCAGUGGGCCCAGAGCAAAACUCAGGCAAAGGUGCCACUAGACUGGCCAGGAAAGCGACACCCUAAAGAUCCCAUAAUGCUGAUAUGUUAAUUCUAUUCUAUAAGCACCACACAGAAGUGAUAGCUUUUAUUUCUUAUUUUGUCUAGCCUGGAGACAGAGCUAAGGAUUCCUUGAACUGCAAAGUCUUUUCCAGUUCUUAGUUUAUACAAUCCAUACUCACCUUCUGCCUAACUAAGCAUUGUCAUUUUUGUGCCAAAUGAAGAGUAGGACUCCUACGAUUGUCCUCAGACUCUCUUGGCUCAAUCCUCCUGCUUUAACCUUUCCUACUUCAAAAACUCCUGAAGUUUUGCUUCCCCUUCUAUAGAAUGGAAAUAUAUGUCGCAAUACUUACUGCAAAGAAAAUUAUAUAUUUUAAAAAUAGACUAAAGAGAUGUUGUGAGACAUCAGACAUCAAUCAGAUGUUGUGAGAACUGAUUUCUGCAUCAGAAUAUCUCCUUGACUUUACAGCUAUCCUUUAAUCCUGGCUCAAAGUUCCAGAAGAAAGAUGAUCCAAUAUAAUACUCCUAUUUGGACUUUGAGUCAUACACAUUCCUUCUUCUGAGAAAACGUGCUUCUGCAUGAAUCCUCCCUUCAUUAUUUUCAGCUCAUCUAUUAUUGAAUCUGAAACCCCAGGUUAACUGACUGAUCACUCUCAUCAGUGGCAGAUUUUGGUGUAACAUAGGACACAUCACUCCCAAUUCAGGUCAAGUCCCAAUUAUCUUGCCUCUCAAUAUGACAUGUUCAAUGUUGUAUUUCAUUCUACUUCAUUUUAAUGUAAAAAGUCUUUUCUGGUGAAGUCAGUCUUUUAUUUUCUCAUAAAAAUUCACCCUUUGGGUUUUUCAUAGGGUAUUCCCAUAACCAAACACACUUUACACUUUCCUAGUACAUAACCCAAUACUUUCUUCUUUCCCCACAGUCCUUACAUGAAGCCUACUCAGACCGACAUCACUGUAUCAUUUUUUUGUAUUCUGAAGUCCUUCAGCACUUGAUUCCUUUAAGUUUAAUCUUGGUAUUCUAUUGGGAAUCAUAUGGAAAUGUACAAUGAUAUUUAUUGAAUGAACAGGAAACAGGGAAAGACAUUGACCAGAAAAAGUGUUUAUUC